rnacentral:rRNA from 1 species
UGAGGCGAACCGGGGGAACUGAAACAUCUAAGUACCCCGAGGAAAAGAAAUCAACCGAGAUUCCCCCAGUAGCGGCGAGCGAACGGGGAGGAGCCCAGAGCCUGAAUCAGUGUGUGUGUUAGUGGAAGCGUCUGGAAAGGCGCGCGAUACAGGGUGACAGCCCCGUACACAAAAAUGCACAUACUGUGAGCUCGAUGAGUAGGGCGGGACACGUGGUAUCCUGUCUGAAUAUGGGGGGACCAUCCUCCAAGGCUAAAUACUCCUGACUGACCGAUAGUGAACCAGUACCGUGAGGGAAAGGCGAAAAGAACCCCGGCGAGGGGAGUGAAAAAGAACCUGAAACCGUGUACGUACAAGCAGUGGGAGCCUCUUAAUGGGGUGACUGCGUACCUUUUGUAUAAUGGGUCAGCGACUUAUAUUCUGUAGCAAGGUUAACCGAAUAGGGGAGCCGAAGGGAAACCGAGUCUUAACUGGGCGUUAAGUUGCAGGGUAUAGACCCGAAACCCGGUGAUCUAGCCAUGGGCAGGUUGAAGGUUGGGUAACACUAACUGGAGGACCGAACCGACUAAUGUUGAAAAAUUAGCGGAUGACUUGUGGCUGGGGGUGAAAGGCCAAUCAAACCGGGAGAUAGCUGGUUCUCCCCGAAAGCUAUUUAGGUAGCGCCUCGUGAAUUCAUCUCCGGGGGUAGAGCACUGUUUCGGCAAGGGGGUCAUCCCGACUUACCAACCCGAUGCAAACUGCGAAUACCGGAGAAUGUUAUCACGGGAGACACACGGCGGGUGCUAACGUCCGUCGUGAAGAGGGAAACAACCCAGACCGCCAGCUAAGGUCCCAAAGUCAUGGUUAAGUGGGAAACGAUGUGGGAAGGCCCAGACAGCCAGGAUGUUGGCUUAGAAGCAGCCAUCAUUUAAAGAAAGCGUAAUAGCUCACUGGUCGAGUCGGCCUGCGCGGAAGAUGUAACGGGGCUAAACCAUGCACCGAAGCUGCGGCAGCGACGCUUAUGCGUUGUUGGGUAGGGGAGCGUUCUGUAAGCCUGUGAAGGUGUGCUGUGAG